rnacentral:piRNA from 1 species
UUUGCACAGUUUUUUUAGUAU